CCUACGGGAGGCAGCAGUGGGGAAGUAUUGCACAAUGGGCGAAAGCCUGAUGCAGCGACGCCGCGUGAGGGAUGACGGCCUUCGGGUUGUAAACCUCUUUCAGCAGGGAAGAAGCGAGAGUGACGGUACCUGCAGAAGAAGCGCCGGCUAACUACGUGCCAGCAGCCGCGGUAAUACGUAGGGCGCAAGCGUUGUCCGGAAUUAUUGGGCGUAAAGAGCUCGUAGGCGGCUUGUCACGUCGGGUGUGAAAGCCCGGGGCUUAACCCCGGGUCUGCAUUCGAUACGGGCUAGCUAGAGUGUGGUAGGGGAGAUCGGAAUUCCUGGUGUAGCGGUGAAAUGCGCAGAUAUCAGGAGGAACACCGGUGGCGAAGGCGGAUCUCUGGGCCAUUACUGACGCUGAGGAGCGAAAGACGUGGGGAGCGAACAGGAUUAGAUACCCUGGUAGUCCACGCCGUAAACGGUGGGAAACUAGGUAGUUGGCGACAAUUCCACGUCGUCGGUGCCGCAGCUAACGCAUUAAGUUACCCGCCUCGGGAGUACGGCCGCAAGGCUAAAACUUAAAGAAUAAGUAGACGUCGAGAGAGCGACCGAGACAACACGAAGGAGUAGG
rnacentral:rRNA from 1 species